UACGGGGGGAGCAAGCGUUGUUCGGAUUUACUGGGCGUAAAGGGCGCGUAGGCGGCAACUGCAAGUCGGUUGUGAAAUCUCCGGGCUUAACCCGGAAAGGUCAACCGAUACUGCAGGGCUAGAGUGCAGAAGGGGCAACUGGAAUUCUCGGUGUAGCGGUGGAAUGCGUAGAUAUCGAGAGGAACACCUGCGGCGAAGGCGGGUUGCUGGGCUGACACUGACGCUGAAGCGCGAAAGCUAGGGGAGCGAACGGG
rnacentral:rRNA from 1 species